GAGUUUGAUCAUGGCUCAGAACGAACGCUGGCGGCAGGCUUAACACAUGCAAGUCGAACGCGUGUAGCAAUACACGAGUGGCGCACGGGUGAGUAACACGUGGAUAUCUGCCUUUUGGUUCGGAAUAACCCUGGGAAACUAGGGCUAAUACCGAAUGGUUCCUACGGGAUAAAGAUUUAUCGCCAAAAGAUGAGUCCGCGUCCGAUUAGCUAGUUGGUGAGGUAAUGGCUCACCAAGGCGACGAUCGGUAGCUGGUCUGAGAGGACGAUCAGCCACACUGGGACUGAGACACGGCCCAGACUCCUACGGGAGGCAGCAGUGGGGAAUAUUGGACAAUGGGGGCAACCCUGAUCCAGCCAUGCCGCGUGAGUGAUGAAGGCC
rnacentral:rRNA from 1 species